GGGGUCGUACCCAAACGGUCAAGGGAGCAGUCUUGAAAACUGACAGGGCGCUUCUCGGCGCUGCGAGAGUUCGAAUCUCUCCGACCCCGCCA
rnacentral:tRNA from 1 species